GACAGAGGUGCCGAGCGUUAGGCGGAAUCACUGGGCUUAAAGCGGUGUGUAGGCGGCGGCGUAAGUACCUUGUGAAAUCCCACGGCUCAACCGUGGAACUGCUGCGUAUACGUGCGUCGCUUGGAGCCAACUGAGGGGCAAGCCGGAACAAACGGAUGGAGCGGUGAAAUGCGUAGAAUAUACGUUUGGGAAACGCCGAUGGUGAAAACGAGGUUGCCUGGG
rnacentral:rRNA from 1 species